AACGAACGCUGGCGGCAUGCCUAACACAUGCAAGUCGAACGAGAUCUUCGGGUCUAGUGGCGCACGGGUGCGUAACGCGUGGGAAUCUGCCCUUUGGUUCGGAAUAACAGUUGGAAACGACUGCUAAUACCGGAUGAUGACGAAAGUCCAAAGAUUUAUCGCCAGAGGAUGAGCCCGCGUAGGAUUAGCUAGUUGGUGUGGUAAGGGCGCACCAAGGCGACGAUCCUUAGCUGGUCUGAGAGGAUGAUCAGCCACACUGGGACUGAGACACGGCCCAGACGCCUACGGGAGGCAGCAGGGGGGAAGAUUGGACAAUGGGCGAAAGCCUGAUCCAGCAAUGCCGCGUGAGUGAUAAAGGCCUUAGGGUUGUAAAGCUCUUUUACCCGGGAUGAUAAUGACAGUACCGGGAGAAUAAGCUCCGGCUAACUCCGUGCCAGCCGCCGCCGUAA
rnacentral:rRNA from 1 species